AGCAAGAAUCUGUCUCAAAAAAAAGAAAAAAGAAGAAAAAGAAGAAGAGAAGAGAAACAUUCUGUUUUAGUCAAAUGGCCUAGAUUUAUUUGACCAGCAUGUGCAUGCAAGCGUGUUGUAGGGAAAAACUGAGCCUUCUUACGAAAAACCUUCUGUUGUAAUCCCUAGGUCUUUAAUGACCCCUCUCAUGGAGGCCCUGAAGCUGAUGUGUAAGGGCAGAUUAAAGAUGGAGAAGGGUACAAAGCAUCUCAAGUUUUGUUCAACUACUUGCUUUCAUUUAUCACACUUGCAGGUUUUAUGACUAGUUAAACAUCUUUUCAUUUGUACUUGAUGGUUAAUUUUUUUCUAAAUCAAUCUUCCGUGAGAAGACGGAGGGAAAGACUGGUUAGGUUUUUCUUUAUGCUCAAACUUUACACCUUGGAAAUAUUUAUGGUUCACUCUUGGUUCUUCUUAUCCAAGGGAAGUAGCCUUGCUAAUUGAAUGAAGCUUAGACAUCCUCAAAACCUGUCCUCUCACAGUCUGAGUGAGGAAAUAGGCCUGGAAAGGUCAAGAACUCCUCCAACAUGGCAGAGGCAGGUUUAGCACCCAGGUGUCCUGGGAUCUCUCCCUAGCCCGUCACUUUGACUUUUGGUCUUUCACCACUUGAUCUGGUCAUGUUGCAGAACUUUUAGGUCUGUCUUGGAGUUAUUGCUGUCUAAAUUGUCAUCAACAAGUCUUUAUAAUCUGCCAGUAUUUAUUUACAUCCUCUCAGGGGUGAUAAAGAUUUAUGUGAUGGAUAUUUGUUAUUUGAGGAGGGAUUUCACUUUUAAAAAUAAACAAAAUAAUUUAGAGGUAAUUUGUGAGCAAUACAGGUAACUCUGUUUUUCAUUUUUUCCAUUAAAUGCCGAGAAAUAGCUUUAAAACAAUAAAGUCAGUGCUGGUGGUGGCUUAAAAACAACCUCUAAAGUUCCUUUUAGAAAAGGAGUUCCAGUAAGUUUAAACUGAUUUCUUACUUAUUUUAAUAUGUGAAAAAGUCAUAUAGCUUUAUAGAUUUUAUAAUGUCUUCACAGCAUGAUGAUUUGCUACCAAGUAUAAUCUAAAUUUCCACAGGACGGUUAGACUUAAUUGAGGUAUUAUCAUUCUACAAAGCCAAACUUCUGAAUAUCAGAAUGUUCUCGUUGCGUCUACAAUAAGCAUAAGAAUUUAGAGAAUUCUGCAUUUGAAUUUAGGGUUUUUCUUAUGAUUGGCCUAAGUGUAAAUAUUUCAUAUAGCUUUCAAAAAAGUACCAAUUCCAGAAUAUUUUUUUCCUUUCAAAUUUGUGUUUGGUCUAGUGGGAAGCAUAUAUGUUAAGAAACAGAAUCAUAGAUCUUUUUUAGGCAAUAGAAAAAUUAUUUAUAUGGAUUUAUAUUUGUGUAUGUUCCUAUUGUAAAAAAAUUGUCUUAAUUCAUUCUUACUGGCAUAGCAAAACUAGAUAAUCCCACUUUGCCAGUUACUGUAACCUGUUACUUCUUUUACUUUAUGGAUCAAGUAGGGAAAAAAGUUUUUGACAGUAGCUGAACUUAUUUCUGUUUCUGGAACACAGUUCUACAAAAGACCAACUUUUAAAGUAAAAAUGAAUAAAAAAUAAGAAACAAUGUAUGUUUCUCUUGCUAAUUCAACCUAGAAGCAGAUGGAGAGGCCAUGGAGGUAAGUCCUGUGCUUCUAUAGGCCUGAUUCUUGUUUCUAAUAUUUGAUCUAACUGUAUCAGUUUAUGUCUCCUGGGAAACAGACACCAAAAUAUAAUUAGAAGAGCAAGAAAUUUAUCAAGAGUAAUUUCAGUGAAAGAUAAAGAGGAAAAGGAAGCAGGAAUAGACAAAGAAAGACUCAGACUACUGUGAUAUAAGUCUGACCCCUGUAGAAAAGGAGAAUAGGGUAGAAGGAUUCGGCAGGCCUAGCCUCAAAGGGCAUUAAGUAUACCACUGACAAAACCUCAGCCAACCAAAAGAGAGCUCUGGUGCAAAGAGUGACAGAGGAGGAACUCUGCAUAAGGGGCAGAUGGCCAGGCCCUGGUACACCAUACCCAGGCAUAUCUAGUCUCCUGAGGGCACUAGAGCAGGAGGCUCUCAACUGACUGCACUCCUCCAGGUGAAUAGCAGUGUAUUCAUAUUCCUUUUAUAUGAGGAGUGCAUCCUGACUGCCCCAUUAGUAGUGAGAGAUAUUACAUUUUCCUUGGAAGGGCACCUUCCAAGAAACUGUGGGGAUACUUGCAAACUGUGGGGAUACCUUGGGCAUAUUGAAUAGUAUCACGGUAAAGUUGGACUCCUGAAGUCAACUCAUUCACAGGAGUCAUAUCAGUAUCCUGCAUGCCAUUGUUUUCUACUAAAAAGUCCCAAACUGGCAGUUCUAUGUUUUAAGCAAGAUGAUGAGGUGCAUUUCUAACAAAUUCUUAUUGCUAAACUGAGGGAAAUAUGGCAACACUGUCAAAAGUAAUAUGUACUCAUUAUCUUUUGAAUAAUUGGAGCAAAGCUGAGAUUGUUAACAAUACAUAAUUGGUUGACGUGCUACCAGGGACAUUUCAUGCCCUUGUGCAGUUCUGUGAAAUCAGUUUGGAUUGUGGUCUUCUAGUCCCUGGUCUCUCUCUCUCUCUUUCGUUACUCCAGCAAUCCAUCCUCAGUUGAUAAACAGUUAAUUUUAAAUCACAGAGGUCAUUUAUAGCUAGUGUAUUAGAUUGUGAAGAAUUGGCUUUUGCAAUUAUGGAGGCUGAAAAGUCCUAUAAUCUGCAAGCUGGAGACCCAGUAAAGCCAGUGGUGUAAUUAUAGUCCAAUUCUGAAUGCCUGACAACCAGGGGAGUGGAAGAUGUAAAUCUCAGUUCAAGCACAGAAGACUGAUGUCUCAGCUCAGGCAAGCAGGCAAGAAGCAAAAGGGAAAAAUUCCUCUUUCCUCCACUUUUUUCCUUCUAUUUAGGCCUUCAACAGGUUAGAUGAUGCCAGCCUAUACCAGUGAGAAUCAUCUACUUUAUGGAGUCCACUGAUUGAAAUGCUAACCUCAUGUGGAAAUACCUGCAUGGACGCAGCCAGAAUUAAUGUUUACGCCGAGCGCACCAUGGCACAGUAGAGUUGACACAUGCAAUUAACCAUCACACCUAGGAACACAGGAGCAAUCAAUUUUGUUAAGGGGAUUCAGGGGAGCAAGAAAGGAAAGAUGACAUUUUGAGAAGGAAGGAGACAUUUGCAAGGCUAUAGGGGAGGGGCAUUUCAGGCAGAGAAAACCAGACAGAGAAAGAGAGAGAGGAAGAGAGAGAGAGAGAGAGAGAGAGAGAGAGAGUCUGUGUCUCUGUGUGUUAUGUGUGUGUUUAUGUUGUGUGUGUUUUGCCUGGCAGGGAAGAGGGAAGGGGAAGAGUGGGUGGAAUGAAAUCAUAGAGAGUGGCUAGAAGAGCUUUAUUUUGGUUCUCAUAGGUUUUAAUUAGUGUCUCACAGAAGCUUUUUUGUGUUGCCCUUUGUUAUGACAAGUGAAAACUUCUCCAUCAUAGAUCUGCUCUGCUCAAUACAGUGACUUUUAACCACUUGUGACUUUUUUAUUUAAAUUGUUAACUAAAAUUAAACUAAAUUAAAAUUUUCAUUUCUCAGUUAUGUUAUUUACAUUUCAAGGGUUCAAUGUCCAUGUAUGUCUACUGGCUAUUGGAUGUUACAGAUAUAAAACAUUUAGAUCAUCACAGAACAUUCUAUCAGACAGCACUAAAAGGACAAUCCACAACUCAGCAUUUUGCAAUAUCAUUUCUACCCUAAAACAGAGACAAAGAACUUAAUGACAAUAUUGGGCUAUACCCAAUAUUCUCCCUGCAUGCAUAUAUGAGCACUGCUGCAAAGAUAGUUCAGAAAUUUGCUUUGCAUCUUCUGAAAAAAUUGAACUCCUACAUGCACAGAGCUGUGAUAAUCCUUGGCUUUCAUUUUUAAACAAAUUUAAAGGCUAAUUGAGAGAGAUUAGUAUAAGAGGGGGACUCUGGAAUAACACUGCUGGGCUCAAAUUUGGUUCUGCCAUUUACAAGAUGAGAGACUUUGGAGAAUGCCUAGGUUACCCCACCUAUAAAAUGAAUAUAGAAACAGAACUUUCCCAUAGACUAAUUAUAGUAGAUCAUAUUAGUAAAUAUUUGUCAAGAAUUACAACAGUGCCUGGUGUAUAAUAUAUGUUUUUAGCAUUAACUAAUAUUAUUACUAAUCAGCUCUUUUUUCUUAAGUAGACACUGAAUCACCUGGUCUCUCAGCUGGAUUUAUGAAUCUGAUUAUAUUUUAUUAUGGCAAGUAUUCAAUAUCCAUUUAUUAUUGUUGUUGCUAUUAUUAUCUUUCAAAUGGCAGUGUUGCUAGAAGGCAAUUAGCAGUAUUCUCACAAGGCCCUACUUCCUAAUACCAUCACUGUGAGAAUGAGCAUUCUAACGUAUAGAUUUGAGGAGCACAUAAACAUUCAUACCAUGGCAAUAUGUUAAAUAGAAAAUGUGUCUAAAAAUCUAGAAAGGGAUAAGAUUUCCAUAAACAAGUUUUCUUUUGUUAUUUCUUUUGCUUCAAAAUUGUGUGACAGUGACUUCUGCUUUCUGGCAAAAUGAAAAAACAAGAAUAGAUUUAUCAUUUGAAACAAAUUUAAAAAUCCAGCAAAAUAUAGGAAACAAUGGUUUUCUGGAGAGUGGCUAUCUGGCAGUAUAGGAGAAUGAUACCACAGAGACAGGAAACAAACAAGACGAACACUGUGGUUGCCCCAGAUUACUUCCGUAAGAGCAUUUUCAGGUCAUGUCACAGGGAUGGAGAUCACUGGUAGAUUUCAGCAGAUUCCCUAGGUUGAGAACAGGGAACUAAGGAUCCAAGGAAGCCAAAGUAGCUAGAGUUCACAAGAAGAGUAUUUACAAAAAGAGAGCUGCACCAAAAAAUAAUCCAGGAAAUAGGCAGCAAACAGCCCCUGAGCAUGAAACAGAGUACCAGUCAGUGCUCACAUGUGAGAAAACUACCUGAGGCUAGGAAAAACAUCGCCUGAAUGAAUCAGAAAGAACAGUGCCUGACAUUCACAAAGGCUGAAAAUAGUUCACAUUUUCACCAAAGUAGAACUUUUCAUAAUUCAUGGGGCACUGUGUAGAGUACUCAAGAAGGUCUUGCCUCAGUAGUGGGAAAUAAUUAUACCUUUACCUAGCACUGCUUCUGGUAUGCCUACCAAAUCACAAAAGCGAGGUCCCCCAAAAUCAAACAUUUUUGCAUAAUUUAGCUGCAUCUCAGAACAAUGUUCAAUUAUGUUUGUAGGAAUAUAAAAAUGCCCAGCACACACCCACUUCUGGAUAUAUAUCUAAAGUAAAUAAAGUCAGUAUUUUAAAGAGAUAUCCACCAUCCCGUAUUUGUUGCAGCAUUAUUCACAGUAGCCAAGAUAUGGAAACAGCCUGUGUCCAUUGACAAAUGAAUGGACAAGGAAAACAUUAGAUAGAUGGAUAGACAGACAGAGAUAGAUAGAUAUACCCCCCACACACACAUAUAUGUAUAGAUGUAGAUAUAGAUACACAAAUAUAAACACACCAGGAUAUUAUUCAGCCCAUAAAAAGGAGGAAUUUCUCCCAUCAGUGAUAAUAUGGACGGACCUGGAAGACAGUAUGCUAAGUGAAAUAACCCAGACACAGAAGACAAACACUGCAUGAUCUCACUUACAUAUAAAAUCUAAAAUAGUCGAACUAAUAGAAGCAGAGAGUAGAAUAGCAGUUGUCAGGGACCGCGGGUGGGAGAAUGGGGUGAUGUUGGUCAAAGGUUGCAAAGUUUCAUUCAUGUAGGAUGAGUAGAUUUUGGAGAUCUACUGUACAAAAUGGAGCCUUCAUACAUUACAUUAUUCAUUGUAAUGAAUAACAAUACUGUAUUGUGUAUUUUAAAAUUUGCUAAGAUGGUAGCACUUAUGUUAAAUGCUCUUAUGAAAAAAGAAAAAAAAAUAACAAAAAUGGAGGAGGAAGAAACCUUUGGAAGUGUUGGAUUAGUUUAUGGCAUUGAUUGUGCUAACAGUUUCAUGGGUGUAUACUUUUCCCCAAGCAUCGCAAAUUUACAUAAUGACAAAUAUUUUGUCUUGUUUUUAUAUUUACAGCAUUUUACACAGAGCUUGCCAGUUAUACGGUAGAUGUUGAACAAUUUCUUUGUGUUUCAGCUGUCAAAUUCUGUUCUGACUAUAUGAGGUACUGCAUUUCUCUUUGAAACAGUCUGUGAAGUAGUUUCCUGUGUAAGACUAAUAAAGAGGUACAACCCUUAUUUUCCAUUUUUUAAAUCAAAUUCUCAUGAAUAUCUUAGAAAACCCUCUCACAUGGAAGGUAUAAGAUUACUUCUUUUUUCUGGAUGUUAGUACUAGGUAGGUACAAUAUAUUAUUAGUCUUUGUAUUCCCAAUGAGUGAUACAUAGUAUGUGCUCAGUUUAUUUUAGUUGAAAGAUUAAAUGAAUGAUUAAAAGCAAAUUGUGUAGUGUUCAAUUUCACUGGACUGGAGUUUGAAUCUAAAGAUAUCAUGUAUUGAGCAAUUACGUAUGAGACCCUGUGUUAGAGCUGAGGAUACAAAGGUGAAUACAGGAAUCUCUAUCCAGCCUGAAAGACGCAGAUGCAAACAGAUCAAUUAUGUAUCACAUUGUAAAUUCUUUACCCAAAGUAUGAAUGAAGAUCUGUGGAAUUACUAGUAAAGGAGACUAGAUGAUACUUGUGUUGAGACUUGAAAAUGAGAGAAUUGAUUGCCAAUGAAUUUAUUUAAACUAAUCAAGGACAAAAAAAAUCUUUAUAAUAACAUGUUGAACUUAAUUAAGCCUGCCUGUACAAAAGUAGACAUAAAUAAGAUUAAGGUUUUCAAAAGAAUGGAUGGAUAAAUGCAGAUAUAUUGCAACAUAUUUCUUUCCUGAAUUUAAUUUGUGUAGCUCCUUCAACAAACAACUUUUUAAAGCAAUCUGGAUGAAAUUGGCAGUGGUAAGCUGUCAUUUUGCAAUAGCCCAUCUCAUUAAAGAAGACAAAAAGGAAGGAGAGCAUUCUAAGUAUAGAGAACAGCUUAUGCAAAGGUGCAGAGGUGUUGAAGUUAAUGUGACAGUGAGCUUCAUGUGAGCAGAGUUUUUAGGGGAGAAUAUCUGAGAUGGACUGGGCUAGUUAGUAAAGGACAAUUUUUUCCCUCUUAAGGAGUUCAGGACAUUGUCAAUGUCAAAGAGGGGCCAGUAAAGGUUUGUAAUUAGGGAAGCGACACGAUCAAAGUGUUUUCAGGAAGGUAACUUUCACAAGCAGCAUCUUGGUGGCUGCUUCCUGCUGUCCUUAGUAAUUCAUUAAGGAGCUGGCUAUCAGAAACCAAGACUGAGACUCGGUAGGAUACAAGGCACUGAAUAAUUAUGGAUUAUUUAUAGUGUAUUACUAGAAAAUUGUUGCUAAAUAGAUUUUGUUAAGAUCUCUUGCGAUAUGUGCAUAUCUAUUAUUUAUCCACAUGAGUAAUUUGCAUCAUGCGAGUGUCUCACUUGUGCUGUGGUUCCCGCAAACCUGCAAGGCCAACACCAUCAUAUAUAAACCUACAUUCCUUUAUGUAAGUGCUUUAUUCUUUCACCUUGUUGACAGAUUACCUCCCCUCUCCCUGUAGCAUGACCCUAACUUAAGACAAAUCUCUUAGGUCUAUCAUCUAUAUUCUCACUUCCUCGUUUCUUUACUUACUCUUCAUGUUUUGCCUUUCCUUAAUUUAGACCCUAAUUUGGGUGUCUUAAUGUUUAUUCCUUAGAGACAUUUGUUAUUGAAUAAGCCCUGUUAUUUUUACUUGUGCCAAACAAACGUAAACUGAAAAAGAUCUAAAAAGAAAUCAAAAAUUUUUUAAAGUUAAAAAAAAAAAA